GCUGGGUGUGGUGGCGCACACCUGUAGUCCCAGCUACUCAGGAGGCUGAGGCUGGAGAAUCACUUGAACCCGGGGGGGCAGAGGUUGCAGUGAGCCGAGAUUGUGCCACUGCACUCCAGCCUGGGAGACAGAGUGAGACCUGUCCCCU
ensembl:misc_RNA Metazoa_SRP Metazoan signal recognition particle RNA